AGUAUGAAAGAAAAAAAGAAAAAAUGAUAAAAAGAGAGGUGACGUUCCAUCAAAAACAACCUUUCCCAAAGAAAGCUUUUUGGUUGCUUUUUCAUCUGCCCCUUCUCUCUUUCUCUCUUUCUCGCUUUUUCUCUA
rnacentral:ribozyme from 13 species